ACGAACGCUGGCGGCGUGCCUAAUACAUGCAAGUAGAACGCUGAAGAGAGGAGCUUGCUCUUCUUGGAUGAGUUGCGAACGGGUGAGUAACGCGUAGGUAACCUGCCUUGUAGCGGGGGAUAACUAUUGGAAACGAUAGCUAAUACCGCAUAACAAUGGAUGACACAUGUCAUUUAUUUGAAAGGGGCAAUUGUUCCACUACAAGAUGGACCUGCGUUGUAUUAGCUAGUAGGUGAGGUAAUGGCUCACCUAGGCGACGAUACAUAGCCGACCUGAGAGGGUGAUCGGCCACACUGGGACUGAGACACGGCCCAGACUCCUACGGGAGGCAGCAGUAGGGAAUCUUCGGCAAUGGGGGCAACCCUGACCGAGCAACGCCGCGUGAGUGAAGAAGGUUUUCGGAUCGUAAAGCUCUGUUGUAAGUCAAGAACGGGUGUGAGAGUGGAAAGUUCACACUGUGACGGUAGCUUACCAGAAAGGGACGGCUAACUACGUGCCAGCAGCCGCGGUAAUACGUAGGUCCCGAGCGUUGUCCGGAUUUAUUGGGCGUAAAGCGAGCGCAGGCGGUUUGAUAAGUCUGAAGUUAAAGGCUGUGGCUCAACCAUAGUUCGCUUUGGAAACUGUCAAACUUGAGUGCAGAAGGGGAGAGUGGAAUUCCAUGUGUAGCGGUGAAAUGCGUAGAUAUAUGGAGGAACACCGGUGGCGAAAGCGGCUCUCUGGUCUGUAACUGACGCUGAGGCUCGAAAGCGUGGGGAGCGAACAGGAUUAGAUACCCUGGUAGUCCACGCCGUAAACGAUGAGUGCUAGGUGUUGGAUCCUUUCCGGGAUUCAGUGCCGCAGCUAACGCAUUAAGCACUCCGCCUGGGGAGUACGACCGCAAGGUUGAAACUCAAAGGAAUUGACGGGGGCCCGCACAAGCGGUGGAGCAUGUGGUUUAAUUCGAAGCAACGCGAAGAACCUUACCAGGUCUUGACAUCCCGAUGCUAUUUCUAGAGAUAGAAAGGUACUUCGGUACAUCGGUGACAGGUGGUGUAUGGUUGUCGUCAGCUCGUGUCGUGAGAUGUUGGGUUAAGUCCCGCAACGAGCGCAACCCCUAUUGUUAGUUGCCAUCAUUCAGUUGGGCACUCUAGCGAGACUGCCGGUAAUAAACCGGAGGAAGGUGGGGAUGACGUCAAAUCAUCAUGCCCCUUAUGACCUGGGCUACACACGUGCUACAAUGGUUGGUACAACGAGUUGCGAGUCGGUGACGGCGAGCUAAUCUCUUAAAGCCAAUCUCAGUUCGGAUUGUAGGCUGCAACUCGCCUACAUGAAGUCGGAAUCGCUAGUAAUCGCGGAUCAGCACGCCGCGGUGAAUACGUUCCCGGGCCUUGUACACACCGCCCGUCACACCACGAGAGUUUGUAACACCCGAAGUCGGUGAGGUAACCUUUUGGAGCCAGCCGCCUAAGGUGGGAUAGAUGAUUGGGGUG
rnacentral:rRNA from 1 species